ensembl:snoRNA
ACUGCCCCUAGAGACACUGCAGGUCUGGCUGCUGUGUCACACGUACGUCAGUAGGUGGCAGAGAGAAGAGGGGCUAUGUCCACGCUUAGUGUUCUGACCUACGAACAACUGAAUGCGGGUAGUCUAACAUU